GACGAACGCUGGCGGCGUGCUUAACACAUGCAAGUCGAGCGGUAAGGCCCUUUCGGGGGUACACGAGCGGCGAACGGGUGAGUAACACGUGGGUGACCUGCCCUCAGCUCUGGGAUAAGCCUGGGAAACCGGGUCUAAUACCGGAUAUGACUCCAUGACGCAUGUUGUGGGGUAGAAAGCCUUGUGCGGCUGAGGAUCGGGCCCGCGGCCUAUCAGUCUUGGUUGGGUGGGGUGAUGGCCUACCAAGGCGACGACGGGUAGCCGGCCUGAGAGGGCGACCGGCCACACUGGGACUGAGA
rnacentral:rRNA from 1 species